UCAGGAAGGGUGCCUUCCCUCUCUAAGCCCCGCGUGCACUGCAGGUCUGGAAACCACUCCUCCUGGGGAGACGAGUCAUUUCCAGAGACUUCUUUCUGCAAGGCCUGCAGAACUGACAUUUCGUACCCAAACCUGAAAGCUCGAGCCAGGAGGAUGGGGAAAGAAGAUGAAUUCGAAGAGCUUAUGAUAAGCAGUCAGUCUAUUCUCCCCCCAGAGGUGCUUCAGAAAUUAAAAUAAAAACUCAGCAGGAACGAGCACCUGGAGGCCUGCCUCCUUUCCCUGGGCUGUGACGUGACAGCAAGAGAGUGCGGCAACUUCGAGAGCUGCUCCAUGUGUUCCGAGCACAUGUUGGAGCACGCGAGGCAGAAGCUCUGUCAGAAGGAGCAGCAGGAGCAGCUGUGGGACUUGGAGCAGAACAGCAGCCUGACCGCCCUGGUGAGCCAAGUGCUGAGCCUGGGCCACUUCUGGCUGGCUGAGCAUGGUGAGAAGGAAUGUUCGCAGGAAGCUACACAAAGUAAAAAGAAAAGUGUUUUAGCAUCAAGCUAAUGGCAGAACAAGAAGAGGUUUUGUUUCAUCUGCAGUUAGUGGCCCUGAGGCAGGCCCUUCCCCGGGGUCCCAGGCCGAAAACCUGAGGAGGUGUGAGCAGCAGGAAAGCAAGCUAGUUUGGAAGUCAAAGCAGAGGCAAGAGUAGACCCUCCCUUCGCCUCUUAUCAUGCAGCUUGGAUCAGCCCCCUCCCCAGGUAAACCCCUCCCUGCUCGCUCAUGACAAGUGCCCAGUGACAGUGCAGAUGCAGUUUGAGAUCGAUGAGGCUCUGGUUAAUAAGGUAAGCAACAUACA